AUGUUGAGGGGGCCACACGGCUCCAGGAUGGGCGGGGCUGUGAGGCAGCAGGUGUGCGAUACCUGCCGAGCCAGGCUGAGGAGGCUGCAGGUGGCCUGGGUCCUGGGGCAGCGCAGAGAGGCUCCCGCAGGAGGGAGACCUCCCUGGGACUUCAGGGGGCUAUUUCCCGACCUUGUCCUUGAGCAUUUACAAGAGGCGGCACGGCACAUUCUCCACAGCCCGAAAUCCGCCUGGAGCACGGCUCUGCUCGGGGCCUGCCUCAGCACCGACGGUUUGGGGGCGUCUCGUCCGGUCUGGGUUCCCGACACUCGCUGGUUCUUCUCUGGGGCGACCCCUCCCGCACCUGCCGCUCGGGCGGCCCAGCUUCCCCUCGACCCCGGCCGCUCGGCCCUGGCUCCUCGCCGGAUCCCCUCAGAGGCCCCCAGAGACGCCUUCCCGCGCCGCUGCCUCGCAGCCCUCGGUCCCCCCAGACCGCCCCCCACCCACCACGUGGCCGGCUCCCCGCUUCCGCCCCUCCCGGCCGCACCCCUCCCGGGCCGCGGUACCUGGGGCUCUCGAAGCUGCACCCCCUGCGCCGCAGCGCCGCCCUCUUCUGCCGCAGAAGCGCAGCGGCCGCCCCGCCGGGCUCCGGCUCCAUCGCCCCGGGCGGGGGCCGCGGGCUCGGGCGCACUCGGGUNCCCCUCAGCACAGCCCCAGGCCCCACCCCCCUACUCCUCACUACUGAGCUCCCGCGCGGCCCCGGCCCUCACCCAAAGGGUCGGCUCCCUCGAGCGUCGUCCCUCCACACCUCAGUGCCUUCUGGCCGUUUCUAACGUAGCAGCGUCCCUCUGGGGGCCGCCCUUCCCUGUGUCCCGCCCACAGGCACGGAGCCCCCUUUUCUCUCUAAAGCCCCCAAGCAUGAGAGUCCACUCACUCCCGCUGCCUUCAACCCAGCUAGGACAGGGCUCUGCCCACAGCCCGCGUGUCCCCCAAGCCCCACCCACGACACGGCCCCGCCCACACCGCCUCACCUGCUCGGGCUUCAGGCCCGGGCGAGCGACUCGCAGGGGUGGGAUUCUGCCCUCAAGGCUAAACAGGCAUUUUACCGUAGUCUGCGUUAGCUCGCAUCUCUCUCCAUCCAUUAAGUGGAGGUACUGCUGUCUCCUGGUGGCCGUUCGUGGCGCCUGA
rnacentral:lncRNA from 1 species